AUCGCAGGAUUAAUCUCAGCUUCGGUGUCGCCAUCGCCCCUCUUGUGGGAGCUCCGUUGUGCGGCGUUCGCUCCGACGUUGGUGAUCUGGUCGCCACGAUUCAAGGGACCGUCAUUUGGUGAGGGACCGUGUAUUGUCGUGUCUGUCGGGACGGAUCGAGUGGACGCGACUGUGCUUGGGAGCGAAGCUUGGUUGUGCUUUGCCUGCGUGCUGUAUUUUGGGGAUAUUUCGGGCAUGGUUUGCGACGAGGUGGAAUUGGGAGGUUGCAUUGAUGCGUGGGCUCUGGAAUGUUUCGGAAGGAAUGACAUUAGCCUGAGGAGAUCUGUGUUUCACACACACACAUCUAUCUAUCUAUCUAUCUAUCUAUAUAUAUAUAUAUAUAAUCACACACACAUGUUCGUUUGAAGGAAUUAGGUUCGGAGUUUUAGUGUGGUGCUAGGUUACAUGAGGGUUUUUAUUACUCACAGAAUAGGAUUAUUGCAUGAUCUACUCGUGAUUCUAAAGCUUAAACCGCUGCGUGGAAUCCUUUCGCCACAGUUCUGUUGUGGAGAAGGUAGCUCUUCGUUGGGGAAGGACGUUUACAGGUGUCAUGGAGUAAACUAGUUGGAGUUCUCCCCAUAGCUAUCUUGGUCGCUUUUAACUGGGGUGGAUUAUCGACAUAUUUGAGGAAGGGGAGGUGGUCCACUAGGUCCUCGUGUUUGUAGUUUGUUUGUCCAAUAGAUUUCAUAAGUGAAGUUGUAUUGCGUCACACGCUUUGAAGCUUGAUUGGUGCAUCCCAUUCCUGUACCUCGAAGUAGAAUUUACCAUAGGUUAGCUAUCAGAGUUUGGUCGUUGUGAGCUCUUCAGGAGAGAGUGAUCAGUUUAAGAAGGCUGGUCGCAUUCUGUUCCAAUGGAAAACGCACCUGGAGGAGAUGCAGAGCUUGUGUGUAAGACACUUCAGGUGGAGCACAAGCUUUUCUAUUUUGAUUUGAAAGAGAACCCUCGUGGUCGGUAUUUGAAGAUUUCUGAGAAGACUUCCGGUUCUCGAUCUACUAUAAUUGUUCCCGUCGCGGGCAUAGUUUGGUUUGUGGACCUCUUUAAUUAUUACGCUAAUGGUGAGGAGGAACUCUCAAGCAAGGAGCUACAGCUGGACACUAAGGUGUUUUACUUCGAUGUUGGGGAGAAUCAGAGGGGUCGUUUCUUGAAGGUGUCUGAAGCCUCGGUGACCCGUAACCGCAGCACUAUCAUUGUGCCUGCCGGGAAUGCAGCUGAUGAAGGUUGGGCGGCAUUUAGGAAUAUCCUGGUCGAAAUACACGAGGCGUCUCAACUUCUACUGCCACCGACAGCUAGUUCUGGGCCCCUUCAGCCUGUGCAGCAAGGUACUAGUUCACAGGAACACAUGGGUGUUAUGUCAGAUAAUGUUGGUUCUGGAUACCUUCCUAGCACCUCCUCUCCAAUUGCUUCAGCGAGCACUGUUCCACUCCCUGAGGUGGGCUCUUCCAAUGUGGGUUUGGCCGGAGGAGGUCUGGCUACUGCACGUGUUAUUCGAGCUGAACAGAAGAAAUUCUUUUUUGAUCUUGGCAGUAAUGCUAGAGGGCAGUACCUUCGGAUUUCGGAGGUCACAGGUGUAGAUCGGUCUGCUAUUAUUUUACCAGUAGCUGCGCUGGCUCAGUUUCAUGAGACCCUGGGGCAAUUUGUUGAGGUGGUGAAGAGUCAAGGCCCGAUAGGCCCAAAUGUGGCGAACGUACGCACCAUUGCACCCCCACGGAACAGAGCUGAGAGCUGAGGGUAGGGCAACGUUAUGCUGAGACAGAGACAAUAAUUUGAGAUUGGUGCGGGAGCCAAAUUGUCCAUGCUGGAGAACUAUCCUAGGAGCUUGGGUGGCCAAAUGAUCCCAUCAUCACCGAUACACUUGCACCAACAUACUUACUACAGCGGUUGUACUAUCUUUUUACAUUUGUAAGAAAUUGUACAUGAUAGAUUUUUGUCGUCUCAUUUUAUUUUAAUUGUGUUUGUCGUAUUUUUUUCCUCCUACAAAUCACAUUCCUUCUCCCUUCCCUUCUCCUUCCCUAGCAUUCCACCUGAAACAUCGAUCCAUGUUAUUUCCCGUAAGGCUGAAAUGUUCCACAAAGUCUAUUCCUGUUUCUGGUAUUCGUGAUAAGUGCCACAUUUGUCCGUCAAGUUUGUUGCUGCAGUAUCAAGUCUGUUUUUAUGUUCUGAACUGAACAGGGUUGUCAUUUUGAAUCACGAGCAAAUAGAUGAUAGCUAAGAUUUCCACAAGA